UGAGGAAUCUUGCGCAAUGGGGGAAACCCUGACGCAGCAACGCCGCGUGAGUGAUGAAGGCCUUCGGGCCGUAAAGCUCUGUCAGAUGGGAGGAAAGUUUCAGCGAUGAAUAAUCAAUGGAAUUGACGGUACCGUCAAAGGAAGCACCGGCUAACUCCGUGCCAGCAGCCGCGGUAAUACGGAGGGUGCAAGCGUUGUUCGGAAUUAUUGGGCGUAAAGAGCGUGUAGGCGGCCUGGCAAGUCAGAUGUGAAAGCCCUUGGCUUAACCAAGGAAGGGCAUUUGAAACUGCCGGGCUUGAGUACGGGAGGGGGAAGCGGAAUUCCCGGUGUAGAGGUGAAAUUCGUAGAUAUCGGGAGGAACACCGGUGGCGAAGGCGGCUUCCUGGACCGAUACUGACGCUGAGACGCGAAAGCGUGGGGAGCAAACAG
rnacentral:rRNA from 1 species